rnacentral:rRNA from 1 species
AACGAACGCUGGCGGCAUGCCUAACACAUGCAAGUCGAACGAGACCUUCGGGUCUAGUGGCGCACGGGUGCGUAACGCGUGGGAACCUGCCCUUAGGUUCGGAAUAACUCCCCGAGAGGGGUGCUAAUACCGGAUAAUGUCUUCGGACCAAAGAUUUAUCGCCUUUGGAUGGGCCCGCGUUGGAUUAGCUAGUUGGUAGGGUAAAAGCCUACCACGGCGACGAUCCAUAGCUGGUCUGAGAGGAUGAUCAGCCACACUGGGACUGAGACACGGCCCAGACUCCUACGGGAGGCAGCAGUGGGGAACAUUGGACCAUGGGCGGAGGCCUGAUCCAGCAAUGCCGCGUGAGUGAUGAAGGCCUUAGGGUUGUAAAGCUCUUUUACCCGGGAUGAUAAUGACAGUACCGGGAGAAUAAGCUCCGGCUAACUCCGUG